CACGUAGGGUGCGAGCGUUGUCCGGAAUUAUUGGGCGUAAAGAGCUCGUAGGCGGUGUGUCGCGUCGGCCGUGAAAACCUGCAGCUUAACUGUGGGCUUGCGGUCGAUACGGGCAUCACUGGAGUUCGGCAGGGGAGACUGGAAUUCCUGGUGUAGCGGUGAAAUGCGCAGAUAUCGGGAGGAACACCAAUGGCGAAGGCAGCUCGCUGGGACGGUACUGACGCUGAGGCGCGAAAGCGUGGGGAGCAAACAGG
rnacentral:rRNA from 1 species